GACGAACGCUGGCGGCGUGCUUAACACAUGCAAGUCGAACGGUGAUGCCCUAGCUUGCUGGAGUGGAUCAGUGGCGAACGGGUGAGUAACACGUGAGCAACCUGCCCUAGACUUUGGAAUAAGCUCUGGAAACGGCGUCUAAUACUGGAUACGAAACUGGCCCGCAUGGGCAUGGUUUGGAAAGUUUUUCGGUUGGGGAUGGACUCGCGGCCUAUCAGCUUGUUGGUGAGGUAGUGGCUCACCAAGGCGAUGACGGGUAGCCGGCCUGAGAGGGCGACCGGCCACACUGGGACUGAGACACGGCCCAGACUCCUACGGGAGGCAGCAGUGGGGAAUAUUGCACAAUGGGCGAAAGCCUGAUGCAGCGACGCCGCGUGAGGGAUGACGGCCUUCGGGUUGUAAACCGCUUUCGGCAGGGAAGAAGCGAAAGUGACGGUACCUGCAGAAGAAGCACCGGCUAACUACGUG
rnacentral:rRNA from 1 species